CGCAGUGUCCACAGGUGAGGACCCACCCACCAGUCCGGCUUAGCCCUGGUCCCUCACCAGCCCCGCGCCCCUCACCGAGCUCCCCGCAGGUGGCCAGAGCCAACGCCAGAAGUGCCAGCCUCAUCCCUUGCAUGGUCCCCGCUGCCCGGCGGGCUCGAACGCAGCGCGGUGGUCCGACCGGUCGGCGCAGCGGAUUAGCGGGAUCUUGUUUCUGGGCGGGCGGAGGCGCGACGACCCCGCCCCAGCCCCGGCCCUCCCGCCUGCUCCUCUGGACAUCCCACCCCCUAGGGUUCUCCUCCCGCCCCUUCCCGACCCUCCAGGCCCCCCUCCUCCUCCGGAUCCCUCCCCGCCCUUUCCUCAUUCCUCGGGCACUCUAGGCGGUACUACUGCUCCUUUGUGGACCCUGGGCGCUGCCCCUUCUCCACUGGGGGCCCCACCUCCCUCCCCAAUUCCUAACCUUUCUGCUUCCUCCUCCUCCCUCCCACCCAGGACGUUCCGGGGCCCAGACGGAAGGAGACAGCAGAGGGAGGGGCUUUCUCCAGGACCCCUCCACGCUGCCUCUGCUGCCACCGGACCCGGCAGGUUGUUGGUCUAGCACUCUGGGCUGGAAUCUUCUCAGGACCACUUUGCCCUCUCUGGGCUCCUUUGAGGUGGCCAUCUGGGGCACCGGGUGUGGGGCUGCACUGCCAUCCACAACCAGCCCAGAGUUUGCUCAGAGGCUUAAGGAACAAAAAACGAAAACUGCUGGGUCAACAGAAAAGGGCCUGGCUGGAGGGUGAGUGUAGGGAAGGGGCCAGGGUCACGUUGGGGACAUUAGUCCCAGUGUCCUCUGGGGGCCAGCCCCACCCUGCUGGUCCCUCAGAGGGAUUUCCCUGGCCCAGGAUCAGGAGAGAGCCACCAAUAGCUUCCACCCCUACCUGCAUCCCCAGGGGUCCUGGUCACCCCUGCUCCAGGCCCAGCUGCCAGAGUAUGUGGGGGGAGUGUGGCUGGGUCCACGGGCCUGGCUUGUCUCUCCCCCAGUGGUCCAGGGCACAGUCUCAACAUGCUGGGCAGGACUCACACUGGGGUGGGGGUGGGGCCGGUGGAGUGUCCAAGUCUCACUCCCUUCCUGAUUCUUGCUUCUCUGACCCCACUGCAGAAGAUGCCCCUCCAGUGGAUGGAAUUUUGCCUAUGGGGGUCUCUGAUGGUCCUUUUAUGGUCCUAGGCCUUCUACUGGGUCAGCUCCACUGGGAUCUGGGCUUCCCCUGGUGCGGGAGAGCCUUCGUCCUCCUGAGCACUGGGCAGGGUCAAGGUGAAGGUGCAGCUCUGUCCAUGGGGAGCAGCGUGAGGAGAGGCCACGUCAUUCCCUUGGCUGUGCCUGCUAAGAGCUCAGUGGCCCAGCCAGUGCCCAGUGUGGAAUGGCUACAGAGCCCUGAGUAA
rnacentral:lncRNA from 1 species